rnacentral:lncRNA from 10 species
CCGCCCGCCCCCCGGGCCCGCCGGCGUCGCGCACCUUCUGCGCGUAGACGAUGCGGAACUUCUGCUCCAUCUUGUGCCACUUGCUGUACCAGCUGUCCUCAUCGGUGACGAGCGGGAGGUAAAGAAAUUGAUGGUCCAAGAGGUUGACUGAUCUGUUCGGAGUCACAUGGCUUAUGAGUAGUCAAGCAGGAACAUCCCUCCCAGGACUCACUCACACCUAUUCUCCAACUCUGCCUACCUGCUCAAUUCACCUGAUGCUCUGCCAGUGGAUUGCUGAUGUCUCUACAUUGAUUCAGAUUUGCACCCACAUCUGAAAAUGGUCAGCAGGCAGGGACCCUCUGUCACCACAGGUGGAGGAAGAGGAGAUGAAAGAGCCUUGUCUGACACCCUGGAGACUGGGAAACUACCCAGACUGUGUCCUCUCCCUCUUACUCUCCUAAAGGAAGACAAGGAAGACAAUGACAAAUGGCGUUUGCAGCAAAGCAACACCAACAGCCAACUUGAUGCUCAAGAGAGAACGCUAUGCCUCUUCCUCAUGGUUUCCAGUGCUCUACACAUUCUGAGAAACUUUUCUGGUAAUAAACUAUAGAAACAAUGAGACUGUGCCCAUGGGAGAGACCCCAUCUCUACAAAAAAUACAAAAAUUAGCCAGGCGUAGUGGUGUGCACCUGGAUUCCCCAGCUACUUGGAAGGCUGAGAUGGGAAGAUCACUUGAGCCCCGGAGGUUGAGACUGCAGUGCGCCAUGAUCACGCCACUGUACUUCAGCCUCAGUGACAAAGCGAAAGCCUGUUUCAAAAAAAAAAAAAAGACAGAGAGAAACGGGCUGGGGACGGUGGUUCACACCUGUAAUCCCCGCACUUUGGAAGGCCGAGGCAGGUGGAUCACUUGAGAUCAGGAGUUCGAGACCAGCCUGGCCAACAUGGUGAAACCCCGUCUCUACUAAAAAUACAAAAAUGAGCAAGGCAUGGUGGUGGAUGCCUAUAAUCCCAGCUACUCAGAAGGCCGAGGUGGGAGAAUCACUUGAAUCCCAGGAGACAGAGGUUGCAGUGAGCCGAGAUCGCGCCACUGCACUCCAGUUUGGGCAACAGAAUGAGGCUCCAUCUCAAGAAACAGAAAAAGGGAAAUGAUCCCUGAAAGUACACUCUUUUGUUGUAGUUUUUAUUUGCAUUUUGCUAACGAUUAGUGAUGUUGAGCACCUUUUCAUGUGUUUACUGGCUAUUUGUUUUCUUUUUUUUUUUUUUUUUUUGGAGCGAUACCUAUUCAAGUCCUUUGUUCAUUUUUGGGUUGCUUGGUUUUUGUUGUUGGUGUUGAGUUUUUUAGGAGCUGCCUCUAUAUCCUGGAUAUCAAUUCCUUAUCAGAUAUAUAACUUGCAAAUAUUUUCUCCCAUUCUGCCAAUUACCUUUUGAAUUUGUUGAUAUUGGUUUUUUGAUGCACAAAGUUCUUAAGUUUUCAUCAAAGCUAAUUUGUCUAUUUUGUUGUUAUUGUUGCCCCCAUCUUUGGUGUCAGAUCCAAAAAAAUUAUUGCCAAAUCCAGUGUUGGGAAGCUUUUGCCAUAUGUUUUCUUCUAAGAGUUUUAAAAGUUUAGGUCUUACAUUUAGGUAUUUGAUCCAUUUUGAGUUAAUUUUUGUCGAUAGUGUUAGGUAAGAGUCCAACUUUAUUCUCUUACAUGUGGAUAUCCGUUUUUUCCAGCACUAUUUGUUUAAAAAACAAAAAUCAAACAAACAAAAACCUGUCCUUUCCCCAUUAAAUGGUCUUGGCAUUCUUGUCAAAAAUCAGGCUGGAGUGCAGUGGCAUGAUCUCGGCUCAUUGCAACCUCCACCUUCCAGAUUCUCUUGCCUCAGCCUCCCAAGUAGC